rnacentral:lncRNA from 1 species
GGGGGAGCGAAGAGAGAGGCCUCGAAAGAGGUGUACAGAGAGAAGUAUGGGCACCAUAGAGAGAAGAGAGAGAGAGGGGAUAGGGCAGUAAUCAGAGAAGAGAGGCAGGAAGAGGAGAGACUGAGAGAGAGAUAGAGGAUAGGGCAGGCAUCAGGAAAGAGAGGCAGGGAGAGAAGAGACGCCUCGAAAGAGGCGUAUACCGAGGAGAGAGAGCGCGAGAGAGAGAGAGGAUAGGGCAGUCAUUAGAAAAGAGAGGCAGGGUGAGUUGAGAGCGAGAGAGAGAUAGAGAAUAGGGUAGGCAUAAGAAAGAAAGGCAGGGAGAGGAAAGACGCCUUGAAAGAGGCGUAUACCGAGAAUAUAGAGCAAGAGAGAGAGAUAGGGAAGCAGAGAGAGACAUAUAGAUAGCGCCUAAAAGAAAAGGAAAAAAGGUUUAUACGACGUGGAGGUGGGAAAAGCCACCACGUAUACUGAGGAAACCGUCAAAUUAUGAAGUUGUAUGGAUACUUUUUUUUAUAUAUUUAUAAUUUUUCAAACAUUUUAUUUUUAUAAUUAUUUUUUCUUACUAUUCAAUCAACCAUUUAUUUAACCUUAUAAAACCACUAUCAUUCAAAUUAUAUAUUAUACAUUUCUUCACUCAACGGUAGAAAACUUAUGAUUAUAAAAAAAAAUAUUAAUUCUAACUAAAUUUUUAAUAUAAUAUAUUUUAAAAUAUACUAAAAAAUAAUUAUUUUCAGUUCGGAUUCUAAAUUCUUUGAUCAAAUUUGAUUUAAGUUAGAAAUUUUCA